UGGGGAAUAUUGGGCAAUGGGCGAAAGCCUGACCCAGCAACGCCGCGUGAGUGAUGAAGGCCUUCGGGUUGUAAAACUCUUUGGACAGGGACGAAGAAAGUGACGGUACCUACAGAAGAAGCAACGGCUAAAUACGUGCCAGCAGCCGCGGUAAUACGUAUGUUGCGAGCGUUAUCCGGAAUUAUUGGGCUUAAAGGGCAUCUAGGCGGUAAGACAAGUUGAAGGUGAAAACCUGUGGCUCAACCAUAGGCUUGCCUACAAAACUGUUGAACUAGAGUACUGGAAAGGUGGGUGGAACUACACGAGUAGAGGUGAAAUUCGUAGAUAUGUGUAGGAAUGCCGAUGAUGAAGAUAACUCACUGGACAGAAACUGACGCUGAAGUGCGAAAGCUAGGGGAGCAAACAGG
rnacentral:rRNA from 1 species